AAAAAGAUUAUUAGAAGAAAUAAGAAGUAUCUCCUUGAAGACAUACUCUUACAAGGCCAUCUUGAAGGAAAAUGAAGAUAGUUUCUACGAAGAUGAUGGUGUGUUCGCUCACUGUUCAACAAGCAUAUUAGAAGAUUCAAGGAAAUAAGUUUUGAAAUAUCGGUCAUUUUCAAACAUUGAAUCAACUAUCCUAGUUUGUCAAAGCAUAAGUUCAAGCAACGAAGUAACAAAUUAUUGUUGUAUAAGAAGACAAGCAAAGAUAACCAGAACAUGUGUCAUUAUACUUCAUUUCAUAUCAGGUUAAGGAGUAGUUGAAAAUUCAUUUUCCAACGUGCAAAGCAAGACUUAUUAAUUCUUAUUUUUGAUCGUAUUACACUUCUGCUAUAAGUUUUAUUAUUUACUAACUAUUUCUUGUGUAGCAAGUUAAGACAUAUAUCAUCAAAUUGGUAUGAUCGUUCUAAUCUUCUUUAUCUUUUAGUAGUUGUACCAAAUUUCAUGUGUUUCAUGUGUGCUUGGCAUGUUAUUUGUUUGAAGUAUGUAUUUUUUAUGCGUGUAAGACAUAUCUCAUUCAUCUGAGAAUUCCACUCAUUUUUCUAUUUUAUUCUCAUAUGUAUAAUGUUAUUCAUCCGUUCAUUUACUUUCAUCUGGAUGAUUUCAUUCAUCUGAUCAUUUUAUAUUCAUAUGCAUCAUAUCAUUCUAAUUGGCAUCAAAUUUUGAUUAAAAGAAUAUCAUGUGCAUUAAUUUUUUCUCAAUACAUUAAUACUGAAUUAUGCAUUAAAACUAUUUUGCAAGGCUUAAAAGUCCUAUUUUUCAAGUUUUCAAGAAUUUAUAUUUUUGGGCUCAUGAUUGAAAUCACGAAUAUGCCUGAUUUGAAUUAUAGAAGGCUUUGACAAUUUGAUUCAAAUCAUAAAUAUGCCAGACUUGAAUCAAAAGUUUGCAAGUUUUCAGCAUUUCACCUCUACAAUCCUGAUUCAAAUCCCACAGAUCUCUAAUUCGAAUCAAAAGACGUUUUGUAGAAAAUUAAUUUUUUUUAUUCAAAUCAAACUAAACCUGACUCGAAUUAAAUCAAAGAGCACAUUUCUGAUUCGAAUAAACACUCUUCCUUAUUCGAAUCAAACCCGUUUCAGCUUCAAAAAAUUUUAAAAAACGUCUUUUCAUAUUUCAUCAUUAACUUUCCAUCAUUUAUAUUCUUUCAAAUCAUUCAUUUAAUUACUCAACCAUUCUAAUUUUUGAAAACCGUUCAUCAUUCAUCCAACUUUAACUCAUUUCUCACAUAUUCAUUUAUUUAGCUCAUGCACAUUUCAUAUCAUCAUCAAUUAUAAAGAUUCCUCCAUGCCAAAAAUAAAGAUUGUCCCACCAGGUAAUCCUUAUUCUAUUUUUUGGUUCAUCUUCUUCACCUGCUCAGGCACUUGAUGCUCUGGUUCACAAAGUCAAUCAUCUCAUCUUUGAAGGCAAACACAAAAGGUAUUCCAAAAUGUUCAUGAAUAAGCUGCAUGAACCCAAAUAUUUUGUCAUAAAUGAAGCAAUUGGCUUGUAGUAUUUAGAUUGUUAAUCAUACAUUAUACCAAAAAUACUUGUACAUUAAUUUUGUAAAUAAUGGAAGAACCUACAACUUUCAAUGGUAAAACCUUUGAAGAAUAAAUUAAGCUCUAGCGAAGAUGAAUGAACUGAACCACUAUAAAUCUGAUGUACAAUUUUCUUCUCCCUACCUCUUUUACAUUUUGCAUAAUUAUGUAUGUUUUCAGUUUGUUUUAUCUUUUAGAAUUUCAUGUUAUCUAGAUCUUAACCUUGCUUAUAAUGAUUUAUCAUAUAAGUUUAGGUAUGUGAUGGAUCUAGUUCAUUGAUUAUUCCAUCUUUCGAUUAUGAUUGUAUAAACUCUUAUCUUUGGAUUGAAGAACCAUUUGAUCUGAAACAUUUUGAACUAAGUGCGAAAAAUUGAGUUAUGACCAUUAUUGUAUUAGUUGUCAAAGUAACUUCAUAUAUCUCAGUUGUGUUGA
rnacentral:lncRNA from 1 species